UCGCCAAGAUAACAGGCACUAUCAAAACUUAAACCAUUGUUUUUUAUGUAUUAUUCAGGAGUUUCAGCACCAGGCUUCGAACCUGGGUGUCGGGAGUUCGAAUCUCUCUGGGCGGGCCA
rnacentral:tRNA from 1 species